CCUUAAAUUAAGUCCAAAAAUAAAAACACGUGUCAUGAAGUUUGACUUUGUGGAUGUGGUAGCCGUUGUAUUGUCAGUGAUUAUUUUAAAGCCGUUUCCCCUGUCUAGAUUCAUUUUGAUAUUCUCAUCUUUACUCAAGGAGGUCUCGGCGUAAUCAUUCAUGGUGGUCAGGCGAACCUAGGCAAAGAAACUCCGACCGUUCGAGGAGAAAAAGGAUAUCGCAUCAGAAAAUUAAAAAAACUUCAGAGAAAGCUCCAAAGAGGAAAACUCCAGAGAGAACCUCGACCAAACCCAGGACUGGAAAGUGGGGGUGUGACCCUGAAGGAGCCAACCACGGAGAUCGAGAGCUCUGCACCAGUGAUGUGGUGCCACAUUGACGGACACCCGCGUCCCACUUGCCACCAGUGGUUCCGAGACAGACUGACAGAAAAAACCCAUCAGAUCAACAACAAGGAGCACACCGUCAUCUUCAAGAGUGCCAGCCACAACUACAAUGGCCUGUACUACUGCUGUGCCAAGAAUGCAGCCGGCCAUGUGUGCAGCAACGCCAACUUCACCCUCAACAUUAUAGGUGUUUUUGUCCGUUCACAUUUAUCAUGGAUGUGUGUGUGUUUGUUGUCUGUGCGCAUUUGUCCUGUGUGUGUGUUUAGUCUAUGUGUGUGGGCUCCGCUUCUUUGUAAAUGCUGCCUCAUAAUCCUGUUAUCUUUGAUGACAUCUCACACACUGUGGGCCCCCUGGCAAUUUUGCCACAUUACUACCAAGUUGUCUUUUCUCAUUCCUUCCUUUGCAUCAUGGUCUUCAAAAGAAUCACAGUCAAUGUGAUUACACACACAAACACACACACACACACUUCACACACACUUCCAGAAUAGGCUCUGUUGAGCCAGGCAACAGUGUGACAUUAAUAAAUCACAAAAGAAAGGU